rnacentral:rRNA from 1 species
CACGUAGGGGGCAAGCGUUGUCCGGAUUUAUUGGGCGUAAAGAGCUCGUAGGUGGUUCGGUAAGUCGGGUGUUAAACCCCCAGGCUCAACCUGGGGACGCCACUCGAUACUGCUGUGACUAGAGUCCGGUAGGGGAGCGUGGAAUUCCUGGUGUAGCGGUGAAAUGCGCAGAGUAUCAGGAGGAACACCAGCGGCGAAGGCGACACGCUGGGCCGUACCUGACACUGAUGCGCGACAGCAUGGGGAGCAAACAGG